rnacentral:rRNA from 1 species
CCUACGGGAUGCACCAGUCGGGAAUUUUGCGCAAUGGAGGAAACUCUGACGCAGUGACGCCGCGUAUAGGAAGAAGGUUUUCGGAUUGUAAACUAUUGUCGAUGAGGAAGAUACAAGACUGUACUCAUCAAGAAAGCUCCGGCUAACUACGUGCCAGCAGCCGCGGUAAUACGUAGGGAGCAAGCGUUAUCCGGAAUUAUUGGGUGUAAAGGGUGCGUAGACGGGAAUGCAAGUCAGCUGUGAAAUCCCUCGGCUUAACUGAGGAACUGCAACUGAAACUGCAUUUCUUGAGUGCAGGAGAGGAAAGUGGAAUUCCUAGUGUAGCGGUGAAAUGCGUAGAUAUUAGGAGGAACACCAGUGGCGAAGGCGACUUUCUGGACUGUAACUGACGUUGAGGCACGAAAGCGUGGGGAGCAAACAGGAUUAGAUACCCGGGUAGUC